AUAUCAUUCUGGGGGAAAUUUCUCAUUAAGCCCUUGUAUCUCUCUCAUGCCUCAUAAAGCGAUUCACCUCCCAACUGUUCAAAAUUGGCAAAUGCUUUCUUCAAAUU